GGCUUUUAUGUUUAUUUGUCUUGAGGGAGAGACACACAGAGCACAAGCAGGCGAGGGUCAGGGAGAGAAAGACACCGAGUCCGAAACAGCUCCAGGCUCCGAGCUGUCAGCACAGAGCCUGAUGUGGGGCUUGAACUCACAAACCGCGAGAUCAUAACCUGAGCCAAAGUCAGACGCUUAACUGACUGAGCCACCCAGGCACUGCUCACUGAGGCUUUUUUAAAAAGCUUUUUAUUUUUGUGAGAUAAUUGGCAGGGGAAGGGACUGAAUGCUAUACCUGGAUUCACAGGUUUUUCAGGGAAAACCAAGUGAAGGAUGGUGGAGAUCCUGCCAAUCCAUGGGAACUGGCAAAAAUUCCUGGAAAAACUUCGGACUUUCAAGACCACGGAUCUGGUGUGGUCACACCUGGGGUUUCUAAAGCCUGAAGAGUUAUGCAGGUGAUGUUUGGGUUACAUGAGGAUUAACAUCAGUGGAAUAACUAGAAUGUUCUUCCGAAGUGUAGGUGAGACAUGGUGGAAGGAGGGGAGUGGGAUGUGGGGGGGCCUGGAGAAAGUUGGGGCAAUUUGGGGUGCAGGAUGGUGGUAGUAUUGGUGGGAGCAGAGGAAGGGCAGGGGCUGUGGCAUCAUUUUCUCUGUUGGUCCCCUACCUCACCCCUAAGAAUCCUUCGAGUCUGCUCCAUUGUUCGGUGGUGCCGGCGUGGAGUUAAAUCGGCGGCGUCCAGCUGCCCACGGCCACAGUGUGCUUCAGAUGACGGAGGACCCCGGCUUCCUCCGAGGGACCUAGACCUCGUGGCGGACUUAAGCUGGAGUCCAUGCUUUCGUGCAACGCUGAGUCCAUUUUCUACUUCUUGGAUUCCAGCCAGGAAGCUCCUGAGGUUUCAAACCAACACAGAGAGAUUCCUUGAGGUUUUCAAGGCUCAGCCUCUGUGUAGGGCCGGUCUGCAGAGUCACGUAGAGCCUGCAAAAGCGUCUGAUCACAAGUGA
rnacentral:lncRNA from 1 species